UCCAAAAUGUUAAAUAGGGUGUUUGCUUUGACAGGUACUUAGAUUUCUUUUUGGGUUCAAAAAGCUUUUUGCUCAUACAGCCUUAACUGUAUUUAUAGGUAGAUUAUUAUAUGCGGUUUUGUUGGAUUAAAGAAGAAACUGAACAUUACUAUAAAAUUGGAUUUGCUCUUACUUGGAAAUGAUCAUUUUAUCCAAGGACGCUCAUGAAUUAUUUAAAAGUUAGCAAAAGCCUUUCUUGUACUGCAAUCAUUCAGACUCUGGGAAGAAACAGUAAUGAAGUUAAAAUGAGCAUAAUCACAAUAUAUUGUUUUGAAUGGAAAUUAUAAUUUUAUUUGAAAGGCAUUAAGAAAGUACGGACAGGUAUGCUAAUGUUGUAAGAAGUGCUCUCCAGUCUCCACCGACCAGCAAAACAGAAUAAGAGACAGACUAUAAAACCAUAUGCUUUCAACAUGGCUUAUUAUUGGGAUUAAAGUGAAAACAUAAACCAACUUCAUCUUUUUAAGCUAGAUAGGGAUUUUCAAGAUCAUCAGUGAACUGGAUUUUUUUUUCUCACUUGCGAAACCACAAUGAAACACUUUCACAACUUGUGAUUAUAUGAAAAGUGACAUUUUUCAGUAUAGGACAGGUGGGCUCCCUAUGUCAAAUAGCUUUGAGGGGGACUAGAAUCAAUGAGUUUGAGGCGGGUGGUAGGCUACCCUCAUUCAAAUUUGUGAAAAAGGGGACCUAAAUAUACUGUGGCUGAGCGGCUAUUGAUCCUGGCUUUUAUUUCCACUUUCCAUUAACUCUCUCAUCAGGGCUAAGGUGAUAAUCUCAGCUGCUCGGCUUUACAUUUGGUAAUUCAGAGGGAGCACAUGAUCAAGUCUUUUCAUGUCCUUAGUCAUAGGCCUAUUAGUGGAAGUCGCUGAAUAUCCCCAAUUUUGAGGCUGGAUUUAGAGCUCGUUCCAGCCAUGAAAUAUGCCGAGGAACACAGCUUUUGGUGCAAUGCAGG